ensembl:lncRNA
GAGUGCAUGGCUGCAUGGCUGCGUGUGUGUGUGUGUGUGUGUGUGUGUGUGUGUGUGUGUGUGUCUCCCCAUGCCUGGCCACCAGCCUCGUGUCAGCUGGGAAGCGUUCCUGCUCCACUGAGGGCUUGUCUCUUUAUGAGCAUUUCAGGGAAACAAGGCUAGUGAUAGGGCUGAGCAGAUAAGCUCAGAUAAACAACAACAGCCCUGUUUUCUUCUGAGUUCUCCUGAAUGUUUUAUUGGUCUCUGGGAAAGCACCAGGUCAGAAUGCAUUGAACACACCU